GGCCCUGUAGCUUAGUUUGGCCAAAAGCGCCUGCCUGUCGAGCAGGAGAACACGGGUUCAAAUCCCGUUAGGGUCGC
rnacentral:tRNA from 1 species